rnacentral:lncRNA from 1 species
AAAGAUAUCAUACUAAAACUAGUCCUAUCAAUUUUGGAAAAGAAAAGGAAAAACGUUCGACUACCUACUAACCUACCUCCCCACCCAUACCCUACCUAAUCACCUACUAUCAAUUUUGGAAAAGAAAAGGAAAAAUGUUCGACUACCUACCAACCUACCUCCCCACCCAUACCCUACCUAAUCACCUCUCCUACUACUUAUGAGGCCUACUUCUACUUCUCUGCAUACCCUUUAAGGACAACCUCUCACCCCUCUUAAUUGGGAUAUUUGUGAUUUCUCCUUUUCACAUGCUCGAACCAUCUUAACUUUUUGGUAAUAAAAAGAUCUUAAAAGACAGACUUUAACUUUUUGGAAUUGAGGUUAGCCGAUUGAUUAAUCAAACAACCACAUUAGUUGGGAGUAAAUGUUUUAGCAUCUAGAGUCAUCGAUCGCC